AUUAGAAUAGGUCAAUUCCAUUUCCCCAGUAACCGAAUGGGACACAGUUCCAGGAUACAACGUUUGACAAUCUUUAUUUGAGGCAGUACUACCAGAUGUCUGCCAGAGAGUGGGGAAGAGAAGGGACCGGCACAGGGCCCCCCUCCAUCCCCUACUUAUUAGUGAAGAUCCGUUCGGCAGAGUAGCUGUCGACAUUAUAGUUGCGCAGGCACUUUGGUGACUCUAGAGAACCUUGGGCCAAUCGCACGUCCCCGUGACAGCGACUUUGCAUUUGGAUGUCUGCCCUAUCAACUUUCGAUGCCACUUUCUGUGCCUACCAUGGUGACCACGGGUAAUGGGGAAUCAGGGUUUGAUUCCG
rnacentral:rRNA from 1 species